GCAUUCGGCUGUCUGUGCUGAGGACGUGGGCUGCGCGGUUGGUCUCCUGCGUUGCCGUUUUGCUGUCACGGUCCCUUCCCGGAGCCUGGGAUUGAGGGGGCACGCGCGCGUGCGUGUGUUGUGUGAGGGACAGCGAGACUCGGGCAGGGCCGUCCCCUGCUGCCUCUUCCCUUAGCCGGGGCGGCAGCCCGCACGCUUCUUUGCUCGCCGCCCACUCGGUGUGCGGAGUGCGUCGUCUUUUUGAUUUUGGAACUUGUGAGCGUCUUUUUUUCCCCUCCCCCUCCAAAAAUUGUUUUUUUCUUUUGGCUUGGUGCCUCCAGGGCUGGUUUCCCCGGUCCCGAAUAACCGCUUCCUGACCCCGGUCGCCAGCUCCGCCCCAGGUUGCCCCCGGCUCUGCCCCAGGCCCCCGCGGGUGGGAAGCUUUGCCCAGCGGGUCUCAGCAGCGUAGCCGCACCUGCCUCAGUAUGUUUGGGGUCAACGACCCUCCUCUUUUUAUAAAAGACAUUAAGGCCGGACUGAAAAACUUAAAUGUCGUCUUUAUUGUCCUGGAGAUAGGACGCGUGACCAAAACCAAAGAUGGCCAUGAAGUGAGAUCCUGCAAGGUAGCUGAUAGAACGGGAAGCAUCACUAUUUCUGUUUGGGAUGAGAUCGGAGGGCUCAUACAGACAGGCGAUAUUAUUCGUUUGACCAGAGGGUAUGCAUCAAUGUGGAAAGGAUGCCUGACACUUUAUACUGGAAGAGGUGGUGAACUUCAAAAAAUUGGGGAAUUUUGUAUGGUGUAUUCAGAAGUGCCAAAUUUCAGUGAGCCAAACCCAGAUUAUAAAGGGCAGCAGAACAAAUCGAUACAAAAUGAGAAGGAUAGAGUGAGCAUCGGUACACUUGGGCCAGUUGCAAAUGGUGUUCAGACUGGACCUGAGUCAAGGGGAUAUCAUCUUCCAUAUACUGGUAGAAACAGUGGCUGGGAACCCAUCAAUCAACAGCUUCCAGGAGCUCAUAGUAGUCAAACAGUCAUGACCACAAUAAGUAAUGCCAGGGAUCCGAGAAGAGCCUUUAAAAGAUAACCUAAGCCAAAGAGAUUCAUGUAGUUUUUAAACUACGUGUCCUACUUGAAUACUUAGUGCACUUUUAUUUAUGGUUAACUGUGAAAAGUUUUUACAGAUUUCCUUUGACUUUUUGGGUUUGCUAAGAAGAAUGGUUGGUUUUUACUGCACAAUGUUGAGCUGCUCAGUUACAUCCUAUUGAAGAAUAGGAACUCUGAAAGCGGGAACAUUUAUUUUUAGAGCAAGAACUUACUGGGUAUCACUUGAAAACCUGUCCCUGUUUCAAGGGUGAGCUACUUACGACACCAGCUUUAUAGCCUCUCCACCUACUCUGCUCUUUUCCAAGCAUGGAGAGUCCAGUUCAGUUUCCUGAAGCUGCAUCGGCUUCAGCCUGGCUGCUCCCUAUCUUUGUACCUGCCAUUUCUCCUCACCUCACAUUGUACAAUAAGAAAACUUCCAGAACCAAAGCAAAGUGACAUCCAAACAAUAAUGACUAAUUGCCUUCCCAGUCUGCUUGGAUACCACUCAUGAAGAAGUUAUGGAAGAAAGUGUCAACUUCCUCCUCUCUGGUGUCUUCAGCUGUCAACGUUGACAAACUUCAACAAGACCCAGUGGGGAAACAAAACAAAACAAAACAUGUAGUGUAGAAAUGCAUUUCUAGGAUUGGGACCCCAUUAUUGUUUCUAGGGACAGUUCUGGAGUGGAGCAACAACAUUUGAUCAGGCCAGCUUGUCCCUUUUGUCUGGCUGGAUGUAUGGGGAGUUGCCACAGGAUAGAAAGUGAAAGGUGAAGUCCAGAUGGCCAAAUGCCUUCACAGAAGCAUUGAAACACCCAGGUUUUCCUGUACUCUACCAACUCCCUUUUUGCUUUUUCUCCGUAGUCUUAGUAACUUGGUGUUAGUUUUAAAGUGUAGUUUGAAGGUUAACUAUAGCCCUUUGUUUUGUAAACAGAUUAUAUACAGAAUCUAGUCCAGUAGUCUGAAGGAGCACUAGUUACUAUAGUUUCCAUUUACAGGGGGAGCUGAUGUGUCAGGGCAGUGGCUGAAAUGCUUGCCUUCUUGGGUAUCAUUAGUAUAAUGGCUGUUUGCUUGAAGCCAUUUUAGGCUGUGUGUGACUCUUGAGGUUCUAGUGAUGACUGAGAAGCCCUGGAAGCCACAGAAUGCUUUCCCAAGCAAGCAUAUGCCAAGCUCUAUCAUCACUGCGAUCCCUUACCUCACUGAUUGUUAAAGCCUAAUUUUUACUUCCCUGUCUCAACUGCUGAAAGUCCCAUUAUUCUAGUAGAUAAGGAUCAUAUGGUUCAGUGAAUUUUUAGUACAGGGAUGGUAGGAGGUUAAGGCAGAGAUAUGGCUAGUGAGACCCUCAUGUGCUGAGGCUCUAGAUGGUGAUUUUAAGUGGGAGUGAUUAAACAGCUUCACAGUUCACACAGCAGUUUUAAUGGUUACCACUUCAGGCCUGCUUCUGCUGACAUCUAAUUGUGACCUUUGAAACAGCACCAUCACUGAUGAGUUACACACCAAGGAAGAAGCUUUCUAGCUAUAUUUAAGUUCUAUAUAGAUGCCUCAAAAUUUGCUUUAUUGGGGAAAUGUUAGGAUUUGAAUUUGAAGGCUAUAGCCAAAUUAGUCCAGGUUUCUGAAUGAACAAUGAUUUGAUACUUCAGACUCGAAAGCAAGUCCGUUAAGUUACUAAUAAGCAUUUUUCCAUGCUAACAUUAGACCUGAAAAUGCUUCCAAGAAUUUUUUUUUUUUUACCCUUUGUGAGGUAUUCAGUAUAAUAUUUAACAUUUCCACCAGUACCCUGAGCAUUGAGGGCCAGGCAACAUUUCAUUGCUGAUCUGUAGUAGCUCAGAUCUGCAGACAACUGACACAUGAAGGGCUAUUGGUAGGCUUUUAAAAGUCUGUGCUUAGCGUUGUAUUUAAAAUUAAUUCCCAACUGGUUUCUAGCUAGGCUAGCUUCUUGUUCACAGACUGCCUAUGGUGUAAACUUGAAUACAUGUUUGGUAAAACUCUAGCUUUAAAUAACAUCCAUGAAGCUUUUUGGAAAGAAGUUUGGAUUGCCCCUCUGGAAGGAACCAGGUCAGAAAAACCUGCAUCAAACACUUCCUAUCCUUGCCAUCCCCCUUUCACAGUGAGACAGCUUGAUUUUGGAGCUUCGUGUUCUCAGUUCCUUUUCUGUAAAUCUACAACAGAAAUUAUAUUGAAUAGGAAAAAAUUAUUUAGAAGGAUGUUUCUCUAGAGCACAGAAUUACUGGCUGAAGCAAGUGUUACUGAAUAGAGAUAAUUAGGCCAUCUACAUAGGAAUGCUGGAAAUUUUAAAUUAGGUUCAAUAGAAUCACUCAAAUUUCAUCAAAGCUACUCUUCUGAGAGGAGGGCUUACUGUGGUGCAGGGCCAGCCCAGAACUGCCCAACCUAAAAGCAGGGUUCUACUGUGAUGGGCUCACUGACCUAUAGAUCCACUUAAAAUCAGCUUUGCCACCCUUACCAUUAUGUUAAAACUUUGCUUAGCUCAGGAUGUGCAUGGGGCAUUUCAUAUGCCUGUCAUUCAACUCGAUACGGGGAAAUGAGUUGAAAAGUAGGCUUGGAGGUAUUGACCUCCAUUACCUGGGAUGCAUAGGGCAUACCAUCUCCAUCUCCAGAUCUCAAUCCCAUCUUUAGUACAAUUCUCAAAUGAGUUUGAAAUAUUUAGCCCUAAGACUUAACGAUACCUGACCAGUUGGGCUACUUGAACAAAAGUCAGUACUAGAGCCAUCUACUGGUAAUUACUGUGUAGUUUUUGUGGAUGAACUGGUUCAACUUAAGGUAGAGGAAGGUCCAUUAUACCCAAAGAUAACAAUUAUAUCUGAUUUAUGCAGGAAAUAUGUGACAUUAAGUGAUCAUAGUAAAUAAGCAAUGGAAAAUUCCCUUAUUUAAGUAGAUCAAAUACUGAACUGCCCCAAAAGAUACAGAAGAAACAAGACCUUUUCAGGAUUUUUAAAGUUGUGUUUACCUGCAUGAAUAUGUGCACCAUAUAUGUGCCUGGUACCUGUGGAGGGUAAAAGGCAUCAGAUCCUCUGGAACUGGAGUUGAAGAUGGUUGCUAGUUGCCUUUGGGUGCUGGGAACUGAAUCCAGGUCCUCUGCCAGAGCAGCAAGUGCUCUUAACCUCUGAGCCUUCUCUCCAGCCUGUACUGGCAAGUCUUGGACUCAUAUUUGUCAGGGUUAGUGAAAAUGUCACUAAAGAUGGGUUUUGGUGAAAAUGCAGCAAAGCAUGAAGCUGCUCUUAGGAGCUAUUGCCCAGUGGUAUUUUAUGCCAAGGGACUAGUGCUAUUCUGCAGUUAUAUGAACUUUGUAUAUCAAAACUCAAAUGUCAGAAUGUAAAGUGAAAGCAUGGUUUUGAGCUGAAGAGAUCUUGAUUUGAGUCCUGUAUCUGCUAUUUACCAACUAUAUCACAUGAACCCAACCAAGGACAAUGGGUCUGUCUAACCCAAUUUGAGGCAUCCAAGACAGUGUGCAAAACAUCUCCAUAUCCAAGACUCAACAAAAAUUAAGCUCUUCAUGGCUACUAGAAGUAAGACAAAUGCUAUCAUUUUUCCAUACCAUUUGGAAAGAAUUUGGAGAAAUUCAACUGAAUAUUAAAUUUAUAUGAAUUAAAUGUUUUUGGAGGUAGUUCCUAUGUAGCCCAGGCUGUCCUAGAGCUCUUGAUCUUCCUGCCUGCACCUCUCAAGGUGUGAACCACCUUGCCCAGCACCAAUUAAAAGCUUUUAGUUACAAGUUUGCACAUUUUCCUGGUAGAGAAAAAGCACUCAUGUUGCACAGGGUUUGGUUUUCGUUACAAAGAUCUGACUAACUGGUCAAAUUGACCAUGCUUCAUUCUGCCCAAGAGGGUCCGGGACCUGCUUAGGAAAGUGUAGUAGAAGAGGGAUUGGUGGGCAAAUGUUUGGGCUAGAGGAUAAGGUCAGUGACCCAGGAGAAAGCAGGCACACUAGAAGGCAUUCCCACCUAAAUGUUAUGAUUGCUCUGCACUUGCACAUAGAGAGCAAUUUGUUUAUGGUAACCAAGACACUGAAUCGCCAUUUCAACAUUUUAUAAAAUGUUGAAUUUUAUAGACACCUGUAUUUACCACCUGAAUUUUGUAUUAACAUCUAAUUUUUCAUCUAUCCAUUGCAGUCAAUCCAUCUGAAUCCAUUUCAAACAGUAUAUUUUUCUUGGUAUUCCAACAUGGAUAUCCAUUGGAAUUUUCAAGUUACAGUGUAAAAUUUUUAUAUACAAUGAAAUGCACCUAUUUUGGGUGAACUUGAUGUUUUUUUUAAGAAGUGCCUUACUGCACUCUGAAACCCCAUCAAAAUUUAGAACAUUUUGUCACCUCUCUAGAAAUUUCUGUUGUGCUUCUCAACACGUGAAACCAAUGUUCUCUACUAUCAAUCGGUGUUAAAAUAUUUUCAGUUCAAAGGGAUUCAUAGUUUUAGAUUCCUAACUGGCAGCCCAAGCCCUUGGGGCACACAGUGCUAAGCUGGAGACUAAGCUAGAGGAGCUGCUUAGGAGUGAUGGAGAGGUUGUUUUAGAGGGCACACCACUCUUCUCACCUCUGGAGCUCUCAGCUAGGACCCUGUGGUAGGACAGAACAUGUCUGUCUGGGAUGGAGUGAUGAGAGCAGAGCAUUGCCUAGAAACUUCAGUGUUUUAAGGACAGGUGCUCAGCUUGAUUCCCACAUGACCUCUUUUGAGUUUUCAUAGUAUUCACUGGCAGGUUGUAUUCAGUUGGCAUAUCUAGAAUACCCACAUGUCUUGAUUAGCAAAGUUUACCCUCUGUGUGUGUGUGUGCGCAGCAAACAGCACAGAUUCACUUCCAGUAGAACUGUUUCUGCAUUAAUCACAUUUUUCCAUUUGCAUACAGUCUUAUGUGGGGAAUUAAGGAUUCUUCCCUUCCAUAGACUAAUUUAUUGAUGAUAUGCAAGUCUUAUGCUGGCAAGUUCCCCACGUUAUGCUACUUUAUAAAAUGACCUUGUGUUGGAGGUGUUAUCUUCAUUAGGAGGACUGAAUAAUUCGCCUGAGAUCGUACAAGGAGGAAGUGACAAAAUUCCCCACACAAACCCUGUUAUUGAUGAGUGAUAUUGAUGCAUUGAGGCUCUGGCUGGCACACUGGAUAGGGCGUCCGAGGGGACAGGACUGUUGUUAGUUACAUCUAUAGGUAGAGGACAUGAUGCAGAGCAGAAACACAGGCUACAAGAUUUUAUCUGGGAUUAGUCAUGCUUAAUAUGUUAACUGAAUCCAGACCUGACUAGUCAGAUCGACAGCCAAGUGGCACAUUACCCCAGAAAGGAAAAUUCGGACUUUGAGUAUUAGUACAGCACCAUUCCCACGAACCCUCAAAAAUUUUAAAGCCUUGAACUCCCCCAGUGUUUGAGAGUGGAGGAGAAAAUGGCUCGAAGUACAUAUGUAUUAAAGGAAAGACCGAUACCUUUGACUACAUUUAUAGAAUACAAAUGGAAACCAAAUGAUAAACCAUGAAACUGGUUGAAUUCAUAUGAAAAAGGCACUAAUCUUCCUAACAUAGAAAAAGCUUACAGAAGUAGGAAACUGGGAGCCUUUCCAGUUCUGCUUUAAAGCAUGUACAAAGGUUUCUCUCUUAGUUAGGAUUCUGUUGCUGUGGGGAAGACUCCAUGACCACGAUAAAGGAAAACAUUUGACUGGGACUAGCUUACAGUUCAGGGGUUUAGUCCAUUAACACAGCGGGAAGCGUGGCAGCAUGGUGCUGUAGAGAGAGGUAGCUUAGAGUUCUACAUUUGGAUGUGCAGGAAGUGACAGUGACACUGGCCAGCUUGAGUUUCUGGGACUUCAAAGCCCGCCCCCUAGUGACCUCUUUCAACAAAGCCUCAGCUACUCUUAACGAGGCCACAACUAAGAGUGCUACUCACUGUGGGUCUAUGGGGGACAUUUUUAUUUAAACCACCAUAGUUUCCAACUUCACACGAGAAUUACGUCUUAAUGCUGAUGUAUUCUUCACAUUUAGAAGAAGCCAUGAAAGUUUGACAACAUACUUUCUUGGUGACUGAAGAAGCAAGCCUUUUCAUCCAUAGUUUACUCUUGAAUUUGCAAUAUGUCAGCAGUAUUGCCUGCUUUGGGGCAGGGCUCUCGGUAGCACAUGGGUUUCAAAUAGCUGACAGGAAACCUCUCCUGUCUUCAUCUUCUGGACUGACUUCUGCUUAAGGUGACCUGAUUUGAUCAAAAUGAUAAUGCCCACCAAAGACUAAAAAGUUGUUGUACACUGUACUUGCUUGAUAUCUUGGAGCCUUGAGGUUUCAAACAUGAGUACUAGGUGUAGCAGGGAUAAGAGAUCACUAGAGAAACCUCAUCGACAGCCUGCCAACUCUCAGACAUAAUGAAUCCACAGCUUAUCCUGAUCGAACUGAGUUGUCAACCACUUUGAGUCCCAUGAGUGAGAACAAUAGAAGUACGAGGCUGAUCCAGCCAGAAUAGCUGGCCUGGAGAAUCCUAAGCUCUCUCCAGCUGCUGUGUGUCACUGCAUUUUGAGGUAGUAUGUUAUACAUAGCAAAAGCUAACAGAGAAUAAGAAACAAUGGCAAAACCUGACAAGGCAUGCUCACCUAUAUUAACUGGAGACUGGAAAUAGCUGCUAUUCAGGAACGGCGUAUAAAGUGCAGAGCACCCACUCAGUGGACUUGUUGCUACAUGUGGGUGGUUUUUCAUGGAGUGAUUUGCAGGAUGUAUUGGUAGGUAAGAAGCAGUACAGAAUAGUGCAUGCAGUGUGCUACCUUUAAAAAUAGAAUGCUGCUAUGUAUCCAUUUUCUCUUUAUUUGAAAAAUAGAAUUGGCUGAGUGCUUGCCUAGAAUGAAUGAGGCCCUGGGUUCAAUCUCAGCACCACAAAACAAAACAUGAAUUAACAGGAAACUAGCAAUGAUUUCUUACACGGAAAGACAAUGCUGGGCUGUUCUCUACAAAGCUUUGGGGUUGGGACUAUGUUAAUGUCUUGUUUGCACACAUCCAAAAUGAAGACAAAAAUUAUAGAACCAUUGCAAGUGUAAAAUAAAUGAAGCUAACUAUA